rnacentral:rRNA from 1 species
AUGAACGCUAGCUACAGGCUUAACACAUGCAAGUCGAGGGGCAUCAGUUUGGUUUGCUUGCAAACCAAAGCUGGCGACCGGCGCACGGGUGAGUAACACGUAUCCAACCUGCCUCAUACUCGGGGAUAGCCUUUCGAAAGAAAGAUUAAUAUCCGAUAGCAUAUAUUUCCCGCAUGGGUUUUAUAUUAAAGAAAUUCGGUAUGAGAUGGGGAUGCGUUCCAUUAGUUUGUUGGCGGGGUAACGGCCCACCAAGACUACGAUGGAUAGGGGUUCUGAGAGGAAGGUCCCCCACAUUGGAACUGAGACACGGUCCAAACUCCUACGGGAGGCAGCAGUGAGGAAUAUUGGUCAAUGGACGCGAGUCUGAACCAGCCAAGUAGCGUGAAGGAUGACUGCCCUAUGGGUUGUAAACUUCUUUUAUAUGGGAAUAAAGUGGUCCACGUGUGGAUUUUUGUAUGUACCAUAUGAAUAAGGAUCGGCUAACUCCGUGCCAGCAGCCGCGGUAAUACGGAGGAUGCGAGCGUUAUCCGGAUUUAUUGGGUUUAAAGGGAGCGUAGGCGGAUUGUUAAGUCAGUUGUGAAAGUUUGCGGCUCAACCGUAAAAUUGCAGUUGAUACUGGAUGUCUUGAGUGCAGUUGAGGCAGGCGGAAUUCGUGGUGUAGCGGUGAAAUGCUUAGAUAUCACGAAGAACUCCGAUUGCGAAGGCAGCUCACUGGAGUGUAACUGACGCUGAUGCUCGAAAGUGUGGGUAUCAAACAGGAUUAGAUACCCUGGUAGUCCACACAGUAAACGAUGAAUACUCGCUGUUUGCGAUAUACAGUAAGCGGCCAAGCGAAAGCAUUAAGUAUUCCACCUGGGGAGUACGUUCGCAAGAAUGAAACUCAAAGGAAUUGACGGGGACCCGCACAAGCGGUGGAGCAUGUGGUUUAAUUCGAAGCAACGCGAAGAACCUUACCAAGUCUUGACAUCCUUCUGACCGGUACUUAACCGUAUCUUCUCUUCGGAGCAGGAGUGACAGGUGGUGCAUGGUUGUCGUCAGCUCGUGUCGUGAGAUGUUGGGUUAAGUCCCGCAACGAGCGCAACCCUUAUCUUCAGUUACUAACAGGUCAUGCUGAGGACUCUGGAGAGACUGCCGUCGUAAGAUGUGAGGAAGGUGGGGAUGACGUCAAAUCAGCACGGCCCUUACGUCCGGGGCUACACACGUGUUACAAUGGGGGGUACAGAAGGCCGCUACCUGGUGACAGGAUGCCAAUCCCAAAAACCUCUCUCAGUUCGGAUCGAAGUCUGCAACCCGACUUCGUGAAGCUGGAUUCGCUAGUAAUCGCGCAUCAGCCAUGGCGCGGUGAAUACGUUCCCGGGCCUUGUACACACCGCCCGUCAAGCCAUGAAAGCCGGGGGUACCUGAAGUACGUAACCGCAAGGAGCGUCCUAGGGUAAAACUGGUAAUUGGGGCU